GAAAUGCGAUACGUAGUGUGAAUUGCAGAAUUCAGUGAAUCAUCGAAUCUUUGAACGCACAUUGCGCCCUUUGGUAUUCCAAAGGGCAUGCCUGUUCGAGCGUCAUUUGUACCCUCAAGCUUUGCUUGGUGUUGGGCGUUUUUUGUCUUUGGCUCGCCCAAAGACUCGCCUUAAAACGAUUGGCAGCCGGCCUACUGGUUUCGCAGCGCAGCACAUUUUUGCGCUUGCAAUCAGCAAAAGAGGACGGCAAUCCAUCAAGACUCCUUCUCACGUUUGACCUCGGAUCAGGUAGGGAUACCCUCUGAACUUAAGC
rnacentral:misc_RNA from 1 species